GCGCACCUGUUUAAUACCGAUGACUAGGAGAGACGAAAUCCAUCGUACUCGUAAACAGUAUUUUAGCAUACGGAUAUACGAAUAUUCCCGAUUUAAAAACAAUAAUAAACCGCGCAGGAGUGGACGAAUCCGCGACCGAACGACUGCGAAUAGAAUACAAAUCGUUAGGAAUAUACAGAUUGUUAUACUGCGCAGCAAUCUCCGU